rnacentral:rRNA from 1 species
UACGGAGGGGGUUAGCGUUGUUCGGAAUUACUGGGCGUAAAGCGCGCGUAGGCGGACCAGAAAGUUGGGGGUGAAAUCCCGGGGCUCAACCCCGGAACGGCCUCCAAAACUCCUGGUCUUGAGUUCGAGAGAGGUGAGUGGAAUUCCGAGUGUAGAGGUGAAAUUCGUAGAUAUUCGGAGGAACACCAGUGGCGAAGGCGGCUCACUGGCUCGAUACUGACGCUGAGGUGCGAAAGUGUGGGGAGCAAACAGG